rnacentral:rRNA from 1 species
UUGAGCGAACUUGACCUUAGUACGAGAGGACCGGGUCGAACGAACCUCUGGUGUACCUGUUGUCGCGCCAGCGGCACUGCAGGGUAGCUAUGUUCGGAACAGAUAACCGCUGAAAGCAUCUAAGCGGGAAGCUGGUCGCAAGAUAAGAUAUCCCCAUGAGUUCAGUUCUAGACUAGGACAUUGAUAGGCGGUGGGUGUAAGCCCUGUGAGGGGUUUAGCCGAACCGUACUAAUUGAACCAUUGACUUUUUAUC